UAGGAGAAAAGAGCGAAUUGAAAAUAAAGAAUAAAAGACUGGUCUACUUUUUAUCAACACAACUUGAUAACCAUGACCUCCAACAACGCGCGUCUUGGAACAGAGAUGGACUGGGGGUACACAUGGUGAUAGUGCCGAUUUUAUCACCGCAUUAGUAGGGAAUCAGAUAAAACACUUCGAAA
ensembl:ncRNA ZC504.9 ncRNA